rnacentral:misc_RNA from 1 species
GAUGAAGAACGCAGCGAAAUGCGAUAAGUAGUGUGAAUUGCAGAAUUCAGUGAAUCAUCGAAUCUUUGAACGCACAUUGCGCCCCUUGGUAUCCCGAGGGGCAUGCCUGUUCGAGCGUCAUUUCACCACUGAAGCCUGGCUUGGUGUUGGGCGACGUCCUCUUUGGGGACGCGCCUCGAAACGCUCGGCGGCGUGGCACCGGCUUUAAGCGUAGCAGAAUCUUUCGCUUUGGAAGUCGGGGCCCCGUCUGCCGGAAGACCUGCUCGCAAGGUUGACCUCGGAUCAGGCAGGGAUACCCGCUGAACUUAAGCAUAUCAAUAAGCGGAGGA